GCCAGACUCCUACGGGAGGCAGCAGUGGGGAAUAUUGCACAAUGGGGGAAACCCUGAUGCAGCGACGCCGCGUGAGUGAGGAAGUAUUUCGGUAUGUAAAGCUCUAUCAGCAGGGAAGAAAAAAUGACGGUACCUGACUAAGAAGCACCGGCUAAAUACGUGCCAGCAGCCGCGGUAAUACGUAUGGUGCAAGCGUUAUCCGGAUUUACUGGGUGUAAAGGGAGCGCAGGCGGUACGGCAAGUCUGAUGUGAAAGCCCGGGGCUCAACCCCGGUACUGCAUUGGAAACUACCGGACUGGAGCGUCGGAGGGGUAAGUGGAAUUCCUAGUGUAGCGGUGAAAUGCGUAGAUAUUAGGAGGAACACCAGUGGCGAAGGCGGCUUACUGGACUGUAACUGACACUGGGGCUCGAAAGCGUGGGGAGCAAACAGGAUUAGAUACCCUCGUA
rnacentral:rRNA from 1 species